CUGACUGUGCUAAGGUAGCAUAAUAAUUAGUAACUUAAUUAGUUGCUAGAAUGAAAGGGCUGACGAAAAAUAACUUUUCUUAAGUUUUAUUUAAAUUUAUUUAAAAAUAAAAAAGUUUUUUUGCUGUAGGAAGACGAUAAGACCCUAAAACCUUUAUUUUAAGAUAAAAUUUUACUGGGGCGGUAAACCUUACAAACAAAGAUCACAGCAACAUAAUGAAUGAAUUUAAUUAACUUAAUAAAAUUCAAAAAGGUACUUUAGGGAUAACAGCAUAAUUUUUACAUAGAGAAAUCUUAUCGACGUAAAAGCUUAUGACCUCGAUGUUGAAUUGGUAUAACUAUACUAAGCAGAAAUAGUAUAAAGUAGGUCUGUUCGACCUUUAAUUUGCCACGUGAUCUGAGU
rnacentral:rRNA from 1 species